AAGGUUUUCGGAUCGUAAAAACUCUGUUGUUAAAGAAGAACAAGUGUUAGAGUAACUGUUAACACUUUGACGGUAUUUAACCAGAAAGCCACGGCUAACUACGUGCCAGCAGCCGCGGUAAUACGUAGGUGGCAAGCGUUGUCCGGAUUUAUUGGGCGUAAAGCGAGCGCAGGCGGUUUUGUAAGUCUUGCUGUGAAAGCCCUCAGCUCAACUGAGGAAGUGCAGUGGAAACUACAAAACUUGAGUACAGAAGAGGAAAGUGGAACUCCAUGUGUAGCGGUGAAAUGCGUAGAUAUAUGGAAGAACACCAGUGGCGAAGGCGGCUUUCUGGUCUGUUACUGACGCUGAGGCUCGAAAGCAUGGGUAGCGAACAGGAUUAGAUACCCUGGUAGUCCAUGCCGUAAACGAUGAAUACUAGGUGUUGGAGGGUUUCCGCCCUUCAGUGCCGCAGCUAACGCAUUAAGUAUUCCGCCUGGGGAGUACGACCGCAAGGUUGAAACUCAAAGGAAUUGACGGGGGCCCGCACAAGUGGUGGAGCAUGUGGUUUAAUUCGAUGCUACGCGAAGAACCUUACCAGCUCUUGACAUCUUCUGCCAACCCAAGAGAUUGGGCGUUCCCUUCGGGGACAGAAUGACAGGUGGUGCAUGGUUGUCGUCAGCUCGUGUCGUGAGAUGUUGGGUUAAGUCCCGCAACGAGCGCAACCCUUAUUAUUAGUUGCCAGCAUUUAGUUGGGCACUCUAGUGAGACUGCCGGUGAUAAACCGGAGGAAGGUGGGGACGACGUCAAAUCAUCAUGCCCCUUAUGAGCUGGGCUACACACGUGCUACAAUGGAUGGUACAACGAGUCGCGAAACCGCGAGGUCAAGCUAAUCUCUUAAAGCCAUUCUCAGUUCGGAUUGCAGGCUGCAACUCGCCUGCAUGAAGUUGGAAUCACUAGUAAUCGUGGAUCAGCAUGCCACGGUGAAUACGUUCCCGGGCCUUGUACACACCGCCCGUCACACCAUGAGAGUUUGUAACACCCAAAGACGAUGGGGUAA
rnacentral:rRNA from 2 species